ACUCAUGAACCACUGGGUGCGGGACCAGGAAUUGAGCAUCCACAGCUGCUAACGGCACAAAACCAGGGACGACCAGGCCUUUUAUAGCUCCUGGCGAAAGAGCACGGGGCACCUACAGCCUUGCCACAGCGAUGGAACCCGAGUCCGGCCCAGUUUCCAGAUCCAGCGGCCAAUUUGCGGGAAACAUGGCGGCGAGCGAGACACGUGCGGCUGCACCCUGAGCACGAAGACAUCAAAGCCCAGACACCGGGGACCGCAGAGGUCAAACAGCCUCAGGUUUUUGAGAAAUAAUUGGUAAGGACACGGAAGGGAAGGAGGGGAAUUACAGAUCGGAGGAGACUUAAAGAUACAUCAAAACUUUAAAAGGAAUAAAAGGUGUGGGGGAGGCCAGUCUGAACAAUAGUGCCUCAAGGUGCAGUCCAGAUGAUAACAUUAGUUUUAAAAAACCACAGAAAGGGAUCAUUCGUAAGUCAGGGUCGUGGCUACGUGCGGGGGAAGGAGGCGGCCGUGCAGGGACAACAGGGAUGCAGCCAGCGACAGGCUUCUUGGGCACAGUGGCCAAGUUCACGUGGUGACAGGAGGCCGCUUGCCCUGAGGCCAUUCAUUAGUCCACACGUUCAUCCGUGUGUUUCGCUGAACUUUUAUUUUACAGCAAAGUGAUUUUUAGGAAAUAGGGCAGGGUCUUGCUAACCUGUGCAAAAUUCUCAGAUUCACUGUACAUUUCCUCAAAAUAUGCAGCCUGUUGGAACCUGGCAUUAACUGUCCGACGUUUCUUUCUGGCAACAACUCCUAGAUGGCCCCACACCCAGGUGGGCAUCUGCUCUCCUUCUCUCCCGAAAUCAGGACCACAGCACCACUGGGUCUUGAACAAAAUGUUUUCCAUUGCAUUAUGAAAAUCAGCACUUCAAUGUUUUCCCUCUUUUGCCUAGAAACUUUUAGAUCUUCCCAGGGAAAGGUGAACUCUGGCUAUAACCAAGGGAUGUUUAUUUUCUGGGACCAGUUGAGAGCAGACACUGUUCCUUGGUGUCACUGGGUUCUUGUGGCUGCAAUUUCCAUGGCCUGGCCGGCUCCUCUGCCCCCAGCCUCAGCCCUGUCCAGUUUGUCCCUGUACCCCAAUUCUCCCGGUGCCAAUCCCCAGGGUGCAUAUUCUGACUGGGUCCUGCUCCUGUGCCCUGGCUGGACGUCCUGACAAACACAUGUCCCCAAAGCCCCCACCCUGACACCUUACUUACCUGAGCCCAGUCUUGCUCUCAGUCCUGCAAGCUCAGUCCCACAGCCCGGCCUCAGAUCACAGAGGUGUGAGGAUUAAAGAAAGGACACUACAGUUGGCAGGGGACAGGUAUGGGACAUUUAUCUUUUAAAUAAAAUGAUAUCAAAUUAUUUUGAGUCACGUUGGACGACAGUUCAAGGGUGCAUAUUAUCAGUGGAAGCUUGUAGAGAACUGAAAAAUUGAAAAGUAACAACCUAGCAUGUAGCUUUGACAGCGAGGGCGCUGUGGUUUAAGUCAUUGCUGUGAACCGCCUGCGACCGUUGCACCCGACUCCCAGGCCCGGUAAUAAUUAUGCGUAGCAGUGAAGUCAGGCCAGCUUCAUUGCCAAGCGUGAUUACGGCCGUAGACUCUGUGUUUACUUCGCCAAGAGCACAGCCAUCGGCCCAAGACGCAUGGCCACCUGCUAACGACACUGAGAAAAACAGAGGGACGUCGCCUACAUGCUGUCCAGGAGCCAAGGCAAUUUUCCAAAUGUGGCAAGUGGAGAAAUGGGGGGACAAGGAGGCUGAGAUGGCUUCCCAGAGGUCGCGCGAGGCUUUGCCUUACAAAUAGAACUCUCACUCGUAGGUGCAGACACAUUAAGGGAAAGCGAGACUGCGCUCGCUAGCUGCUCACACUUCACCCCAUUACUGGGCUCUCUGCGGAGCGUUGUGCUUCCUCCCGCGAGUUACAACCCGCAGCCUGCAAUCUCUCUUCCCUCCCUUUGCUUCCCGGGGUUCAUUUCCAAUUCUCCUGGCUCUGUGAGAACAGAAUGGUUUCUUUUUCCUGAUUCUAAUUUUCCUCCUUAGAAACAACGUUUCAUUUUCUUAAUGACCAUGUGCCACUUUCUGACACAAACUUUGCCCAGUUUUUUCUCAUAAUCCAGAUUUUCCUCUUCUCUGGGUGGAACAUUUCUCAUGCCCACACACGGGUCUGUGCCCAGGUGACUGUUCUCUGCAAGCACAGAUCUGGGGGCUUCUCUAAGAAAACCGAGAAUACAGACUUCAGUGGGGAUUGGGGAAAGGAGAGAAUGGGAUUAGACUGUUUCUUUGACGGCUGUGCGACCUACCAAAAUACAAACCUUUAAGCACUGGCACCUGACCACAUGGAAGUGAUGAAUCAUGGAUUUCUGUCCCAUUCGAGAGUGCUGUGGUUCUCUCCGGCAUUGUUUAAGGAAACUGUGUAUCUCUCUAUCCAUUGGCCCAGCGAUUCAGCUCCAAAUGCAUGCCAGAAAAAAAAAUUGACAUAGCUAUAAGUGGAGGUUGUAUAAAAUUAUUCAAUGAAGCAUUGUUUAUGAGAGUAAAGAGUGGAAACAUCUUAAAUAUCCAUCAAUAAAAAUAAAAAAUAAAGCUGGUAUGAACAUACAAGAAUCCACCACAGAGCAGUCUAACAGAACAAAUCCCAUGUGUGCUGGUUCAUGCUGACACGCUAGCACGGACUGAGCUCAAAAGCCUUGAGGCAAAGCCCACGAAGCCCACUGGCUCCUGCACUGGCCGAGGCAGCGGACCCCCAGGGCUGGACUCUCGGGUGAGUUCAGUCACCUGACAGACGCAGCACGCGCUCCGCUCCUGCGGGGCAGGGCCUGGGGCAAGAGCGGGGGCCCUGCAGCCCCUCCCUGCAGUGGGCAGGGGGCGGUGGGGACACUGGGGGGACGGGAUGUGCCGGCUUGUGGCCAUCUCUGGGCUUGACAGACAGGCCCACCUGGACAAGAACCAUCGUGGAGCUCACCGCAUUGAAGGGAGAAAACGGCACCCUCAGGCCGGUCAACAGUGAACUCAGGGCAGUGUGGAAGAAAAGAAGGCCUUCUGGAAGUUUCUAAAGAGACCAGCUCCCUCAUCCCAAGAGCCGACUUGUCUGGACACCAGACCUGGGAUCUGGCUGUGAGAGUGUGUGGGGACUGGCCCCCCGGGGAAGUCCAGAGGAGGCAGCUUUCAUCACGUCUGGGAGAAAUAAACUUGCCAGGGGACCCCGAGUCCCUGAGGAGCUGCGAGGUUGCUUUUCUCUGUGGGUCGGAGAUUACGGUGGGAAUGGCUGCAGCUGCACAGGGACCCCUGCGUGUGACAGCGGCAGUGGGCUGGCACUCGACUGCCCGCCACGUGGGCGCAGUGACCUCAGCAGACACCAGAAUAGUCUGAGUCUGGCCGGCCUACGGUGUUGUGGCUGGCUGCGGUGUUCCUGGAAGGGAACAGACGCGCCGGCGACCGACUCUUGCUUGGCCCUGUCCAGCCGGGGGACUCUCGGCCGAGCAAACGGGAGUCUCACUGGGAUCGUGCAAACAGCCUCAGCCUGUCAGUCCCAGACUCCAGCUGGUUUACAAUCCCGAACCUUCCAGUGACCGGGAGGCUGGGCCCUACGAGAAAAGACCCCAGCACGCUGCCAAAAAUGCAUAGUAUUACUCUGACUCCCCCAGAGGGGGCUGCGCACGGCGGGAAGGGAAAUAAUCAGACAUUUCAGAGAUUACUGGACGCUGGCUCUGAUCUGACGCUAAUUCCAGGAGACACAAAACGCCACGAUGUCCCCCGGUCGGAAUGGGGGCUUGUGCAGGUCAGUGGGGUUUAGCUCAGGCCCGUCUCUCAGUGGGGCCCGGGUACCCGGGAGCCCACGGUGGUCACGUCCCCGGGGUCCAGGAUGCAUAGCUGCAAUGGCCACCUGGGGACUGGCAGCGUCCCCUCCGUGGUUCCCGACCUUGGGGCUAAGGAUGGGAAAGACCAAGCGGAAACCACUAGAACAUUCCUCUACCUGAAACAAAAGGUAGUAAGCCAAAGCAAUAUUGACUUCCUGGAGGGACUGAAGAGAGAUUGGUGCCAUCAGGGACUUAGGUAAGGGCGGUGUUCCCACCGCGGCCCGUUCAACGCUCCCCGCCGCGAACACCCGCGGCCUCGGCGGGUCCGGGCAGCCCCGGCGCGGCGCCUGCGCGGGGGGCUCUGGUGAGUGAGCGCCGCCCGCCCCCGCCUGUCCCCGAAUGUGCCCGGGGGACCCACGGCGGCUGCUCGCAUGGGGACAGGGCGCUGAGGGGCGCCUCUGCAGCUCCCUGAGCUUCCGGUCUCAGUUUCCCGCCGCGCUUCCCGCAUUUCCGGGAUGAAGCCAACGCUUGGCGCGGGUCCUUUCCCUGGAGAAUCCAAGGGAGGAAAAUGAGGCGUGAGGAGCCAGCCAGCCAGCUGAUUGGAGUGCCCAGUGUCUCGAGUGGUUUUUAAAUGAAAAAUGCACGUGCAGCUCUCUCCAACGGGACAGAAAGGUCUGCUUGGAAGGAACAUUCACACUCCUGUGCAACUGUUACCACCACCCGUGUCCAGAGCUUUUCAUCUUGCAAAACUGAAACUCUGUCCCCGUGAAGCACCGAAUCCCCAUUUCUCAUCCCCCAGCUUUGAUGACCACCACUCUACUCGGCCUUCGUGAUUUUAGCUACUCCAGGUACCUCGUCUAAGUGGAAUCACACAGUGUCUGUCCUUUCUCCUCUGGUGUAUUUCAUACUAAUGAAACAAUGUCCUCAAGGUUCAUCCUCUUAUAAACACUUACACGUCUAGCAGUGGCCCUUGG